GACGAACGCUGGCGGCGUGCUUAACACAUGCAAGUCGAACGGAAAGGCCCUGCUUUUGUGGGGUGCUCGAGUGGCGAACGGGUGAGUAACACGUGAGUAACCUGCCCUUGACUUUGGGAUAACUUCAGGAAACUGGGGCUAAUACCUGAUAGGAGCUCCUGCUGCAUGGGGGGGUUUGGAAAGUUUCGGCGGUUGGGGGUGGACUCCCGGCUUAUCAGCUUGUUGGUGGGGUAGUUGCUUACCAAGGCUUUGGCGGGUAGCCGGCCUGGGAGGGUGACCGGCGACAAUGGGACUGAGAUACGGCCCAGAGUCGUACGGGAGGCAGCAGGGGGGAGUAUGGCACAAUGGGCGGAAGCGUGAUGCAGAAACGCUGGGUGCGGGAUGACGGCUUUCGGGUUGUAAACGGCUUUAGCCUGUGACGAAGCGUGAGUGACGGUAAUGGGUAAAGAAGCACCGGCUAACUACGUG
rnacentral:rRNA from 1 species